rnacentral:sRNA from 1 species
UUUAAAAAAUUAUCAAAUCUCUGUGUUAUAUAAGUUUUGAUACUAUAUUUGAAUAAAGUGUAAUAUACCUUUUUAAUUUGUAUUCUUUAACUAAUUUAAGCUAACUAAUAUAUUUGCUAAUCUUAUAUCUAUCAAAAUCGACUAUCGUUUCUUAUCUCUAUAGUAUUUUUGCAAGACUUUUUUGGUGGAUUUGGAUAAAAAUGCAUUCGGGUCAUAUGGUACAUUCCCCUAUUAAAUAAAUAUGGUGCACUCCUAUGUUAUUAGCUAAAAUGUUUAGAUUAGGCCUGGGCAAAAAAACCGCUAACCGAUUAACCGAACCGAACCGAACCGAAAAACAUGGUUCGGUUCGGGUUUGGAUAGCUUAAAAUAACCGGCUGGAUAUUAUAUGUCUUAGAUUUCGGUUUCGGUUUCGGUUACGUUAGUAACCGAUAACCAAAGGAUAACCAAAGCAUAUAUGUAUGAUAGAUAAUAUAUCAUAUAUAUUGUAUGUAUUGACACUUAACUAUGUUCUUCUCUUUAUUAGUUUGCAAGUUGAAUUUCGUGAGUUGUGAAUGGACCAUAUUUGCAUCUUUGUGAGUUGUGAAUAUGUCUUUUUUACGUACGUUCUAUAUCGGUUAUUGGUCAAUUUUUUUGGUUGUUCAGGUUUUUAGUCGGUUAUUUCGGUUUUAGGUUAUUUAUGGUUACCAAGUUUAAUAUCUGAACCGAACCGAACCGAAAGAUAACCGAACCGAACCAAAAUUCCUCAAAUAUCCAAAUGGUUCUUGUAUUACUAUA